rnacentral:rRNA from 1 species
UACGUAGGGGGCGAGCGUUGUCCGGAAUUACUGGGCGUAAAGAGAGCGUAGGCGGCACUACAAGUCUCAUGUGAAAUACCCGGGCUUAACUUGGGGGUUGCAUGGGAAACUGUAGAGCUUGAGUACAGGAGAGGCAAGCGGAAUUCCUAGUGUAGAGGUGAAAUGCAUAGAUAUUAGGAGGAACACCAGUGGCGAAGGCGGCUUGCUGGACUGAAACUGACGCUGAGGCUCGAAAGCGUGGGGAGCAAACAGG